rnacentral:rRNA from 1 species
UACAGAGGGGGGCAAGCGUUAUUCGGAAUUAUUGGGCGUAAAGGGCGCGUAGGCGGCUUGGCAAGUGGAAGGUGAAAUCCCUCGGCUUAACCGAGGAACUGCCCUCCAAACUGCUUGGCUUGAGACCGGGAGAGGUGAGUGGAAUUCCCAGUGUAGCGGUGAAAUGCGUAGAUAUUGGGAGGAACACCAGUGGCGAAGGCGGCUCACUGGACCGGUACUGACGCUGAUGCGCGAAAGCCAGGGGAGCAAAGCGGG